UACGGAGGAUCCAAGCGUUAUCCGGAUUUAUUGGGUUUAAAGGGUGCGUAGGCGGUUUUAUAAGUUAGAGGUGAAAUCUCGGGGCUCAACUCCGAAAUUGCCUCUAAUACUGUAGGACUAGAGAGUAGUUGCGGUAGGCGGAAUGCGCGGUGUAGCGGUGAAAUGCAUAGAUAUCGCGCAGAACUCCGAUUGCGAAGGCAGCAUGCCGGCUCCACACUGACGCUGAGGCACGAAAGCGUGGGUAUCGAACAGG
rnacentral:rRNA from 1 species